rnacentral:lncRNA from 1 species
CUCUCUCGCACGAUCUGCUCCCGGACUCCUUCAGCGCGCUGCCUGCCUGCCCAGGGCCUUCCCGGAGAGCAGGUGACGGCGGCCUCCGGGCAUGGAGCUCGCGCUGACGAAAGGUUCUGGAAGCCGCCGUAAAAAGUAAUCAAGAAACGGGUGACAGGACUUUUCGAACAAGGUCUCACCAUGCUGCCCAAGCUGGUCUGAAAACUCUUGUCCUCAGGCAGUCCUCCCACCUCGGCCUCCCAAAGAUCUGAGAUUACAGGCAUGAGCCACCACACCUGGCCUUGGUUUUAAUUCCUGUCACAGUAUAUUAGUUUUCGCUGUUGUGUAUUGAUUGAUUGAGACAGGGUCUCGCUCUGUUGCCCAGGCUGGAGUGCAGGGGCAUGAUCCCAGCUCACUGCAACCUCCACCUCUUGGAUUCAAGUGAUUCUCCCGUCUCAGCCUCCCGAGUAACAGGAACCACAGGUGUGUGCCAGCACGCCUGGCUAAUUUUUUUUUUUUUUUUCUUGAGGUGGAGUUUCACUGUUGUUGCCCAGGUUGGAGUGCAGUGGCACAAUCUCAGCUCACUGCAACCUCUGCCUCCUGGGUUCAAGUGAUUCUCCUGCUUCAGCCUCACGAGUUGUUGGGAUUACAGGCGCCCGCCACCACGCCCAGGUAAUUUUUGUUUAGUAGAGACGGGGUUUCACCAUGUUGGCCUGGCUGGUCUCGAACUCCUGACCUCAGGUGAUCCACCCACCUCGGCCUCCCAAAGUUGUGGGAUUGCAGGCGUGAGCCACUGCGCCUGGCCUAAUUUUUCAAUUUUUUGGUGGAGAUAGGGUUUCACCAUGUUGGCCAGGCUGGAGUUUUGCCUGUUCUAGAAGCUUGUAUCAGUCAUACAACACCCCUUUGAGGAACCGUUUGAGGUGUGGCACGAUACAGCAAGUCAGCUGCCAAAGAGGGGCUUAGCCACAGGAAGUGCGUGCCCAGAACGCAGUUCUAUGAGGCUGGCUGCCCUGUUUGACAACUGAGGCCCGCAUCUUCCCCGGAAUCACCGACGUGUGGCUCUGAGCCCUGUCCCAGGGAUUUUCUCCAUCAGAGAAGAGGAGCACUUUGAGCUUUGAGAGGAGCAGCCCUCUGCAAGUGAAGUGGAAAAAAAGGAAGCAGGCGAGGAGGCCCAUCCAGACCCUCCCCCAAGACCCUUGCUGAAAUGGCUGGGAUGCGGCGUGCAGAAGCUCUCCUUUCCUUCACAGCCCCUGGCUUUCCAAGAGUCCCUGCCCACCCAGAUGCCCGCUGGCAGAUGCAGCCUCAUCUCAAGGACACUGCUUGCUGGAUAAAUCCCUCACCACCCUAGAGACAGCCCACGGUCCUGAGACAAGGAUGCGGGCCAGGCUUGUUGCACGUAAGCGCCUCCCGCAGAAACCAGUGAGGCCGGAGUUCCAGAGGAAAUGAUGUAGGGACAGAGGCAGAGGGCCUCCAGGAGGCACCAGCCCCAGAGUCUUCCCUAGAAUCAGACUUUAAGCACAAGCAGGGAGGGAAAGCACUUGAGCAGUGCCCGUCCCUGCAUACCUGGCCUCUGCUGGAACCCAUGCAGGGACAGGACACUUCUUUAUCAGCAAUCCUGUUCCUCUCCUGGGCAGCUUCAACCUGAACAUCCUCCUUCACCUUGAGCUAAAAUGGGUUUCUUGUCACCCUUGCCCAUCAAACCUGGCCUUGCCCUCAGGAACCACACAGGACAAGCCUAAUACUUCCUUCUUGUGGCAACACUUUAGCAAUUGAGACCUGGCUGUCAGGUCCUCCAAAUAAACAUUUGUGACUGUGAUGUUGACUUGCCGCUUCUGGGGACCUCUUCUCAUUUGAUCGGAGAAAGUUUUUCAGGGUUAAACCUACUUCUUUCCCCCAAGAAACUCUUCUUGUCAGGCUCACGCCUAUAAUCCUGGCACUUUGGGAGGCCAAGGCAGGAGGAUUGUUUGAGACCAGCCUGGGCAACGUAGGUAGACUAUGUUGCUACAAAAAGAAAAAGAAAAAAUGGCCAGGUGUAGUAGUCCCAGCUGCUUGGAGGCUGAGGUAGGAGGUUUGCUUGAGCCCAGGAGGUCGAGGCUGCAGUGAGCUAUGAUUGUGCCACUGCACUCUAGCCUGGGAGACAGAAUGAGGCCCUGUCUCAAAAAAAAAAAAAAAAAAAAAAAGAUGAUGAAACUCCUCACGUAUUUCUCCCCGGAGCAUGUGCUCCCAGGCUCAAAUCCACAGCAGCCUCGUUACACACACGUCAUCCCCUGGCCCCGAGAUAUUGCACCGCCUUCCCCUUUCUAGCUCUGAACCCCCACAUGAAGCAGCCAGACGUAGGAAAACCCAGAUUCAUAAAGCGCUGAUAUGGGUGGUCCUUUACCAAAGGAUUUUCUGCUUUACAAAGUAAUUCACCAAAUGAUUUCCCUAGAGUAUGGGCAGAGAUUUGCAAACUACAGCUUGGAACCAAGCUGCCUUUUUUUUAUAAUAAAGUUUUAUCAGGAUGCAUCCACAUCCAUUCAUCUCUGUGGUGCCAGCUGCUCUAGCUACACAGGCAGAGUGGAAGAGUUGCAGAUGGCCAACAAAACCUAAACUGUUUACCGCCUGGCCCCUUAUAGAAGCAGCUGGCUGACGCUGGCUCCAGGGCAUCAGAAAUGGGACCAUUGGAAAGGAGUAGCCGGGCUACAUGGUUUUUCUUCUGCCCCACGUCUUGUUCUCAAACAUGCUUCCUCCCCAGUCAUCUGAGGAAUGUCAGUCUGAGACAGUCAGGAGCAGGUGUGCCUAGGGAUGCAUGGUUUCUGAAAAUGGGGUGGGGUCUUUUAGGCUGAGGGCUCUGGCAGCUUCUGUCUGAAGGCUGAGCUGAGCUGAGCAGAGCUGGGCAUGGUGGCUCACGCCUGUAGUCCCGGCUACUCAGGAGGCCAAGGUGGGAGAAUCACUUGAGCCUGGGAAGUUCAGAGGAGCCUGGGCAACACAGUGAGACCUCAUCUUUAUUUUUUGAAAUUUUUUGUUUUUAUUAUUUUUUUAAUUUUUAGGAGCAGAGGGUUAAUAGGCAAAAGAAAGAGAGAGAGGAAAACAGCUCUCUCCAGUGAGAGAGAGGGUACUUCUGAAAGGAAAACGCCACCGGCAGCAGAUGCACUGGAUUUUAUAGUCAGGCUUGAGGAGGUGGUGUCUGAUUUACAUAGGGCUCACAGAUUGGUUCAGUCAGGUAUGAUGUUUACAUAGCGCUGGGGUGUGGGGAAGGCUGACCUCCCCACUCUAAUCUUAUUAUGCAAAUGAACUUUCCCCUUGGCCAGCACCAUCUUGUCUGCUCCUUACUGUGCACGUGGCUGGCAGAGAAGGGAAGAUGGAGCCGCCAUUUUGAACAUGAUUGGCACAACUGCCUGCAUCUAUGUCUGCAGCUCGAUUUUACACGCUGCUCUUUGUUAGAAAGGAAAAUGAUUUGGGGCUGCUUUUCAGUAAAAGGAAAACCUUACUGAGGACUUCUGUAUCCUCACUAUCUAAGUAAUUUCCUCUUAACUCCUGUAUCAUUCCCCACUCUGGAGUGGUAACCCUAACUGCUCUUCGGGGUUGUUUGAUGAUGACUCUUUCUGGCUACUUCAUACUUAAAAGGGGUGUUGUGUGGGGAACAGAAGCUAAGGGCUCCUCCUGGGGUCGAGCUAAGGGUCCUCGGAAAAAAGGCAUGUCCGUGCAUGGUUCUGUCUGCAGCACCAUUUAGAGUUUGAUUACUGUCAGCCAUUCUGAUGGGUUGUAACACUGGUUUGCCUCCACCAGAUGUUGAGAUAGUUUCCAGAUUCCAGAGAAACCAGG